AGAAGCUGUUUCUGAAAGCAUUGUGAAGUGAGUGUUCCACAUGCUGUUGCAGAUAAUUUCAGGAAUGACGUGUGGUUGAAGGGAAAACUGAAUCAUGCUCUGUUUGAUGCUUUCAGAAUAUUCAUGUUCAGUGUUCUCUUUGCCACUUGUAUAAAUUAUCAAUGUGGAAUGCAGCGAUUGUACAUGAGUGCUGGGGCAUUGGUGCUUCUA
rnacentral:misc_RNA from 1 species